GAUGAACGCUGGCGGCGUGCCUAAUACAUGCAAGUCGAGCGAACGGACGAGAAGCUUGCUUCUCUGAUGUUAGCGGCGGACGGGUGAGUAACACGUGGAUAACCUACCUAUAAGACUGGGAUAACUUCGGGAAACCGGAGCUAAUACCGGAUAAUAUUUUGAACCGCAUGGUUCAAAAGUGAAAGACGGUCUUGCUGUCACUUAUAGAUGGAUCCGCGCUGCAUUAGCUAGUUGGUAAGGUAACGGCUUACCAAGGCAACGAUGCAUAGCCGACCUGAGAGGGGGAUCGGCCACACUGGAACGAGGACACGGUCCGGACUCCUACGGGAGGAGGCAGUAGGGAAUCUUCCGCAAUGAGCGAAAGCCGGACGGGGCAACGCCGCGGGAGGGAGGAAGGUCUUCGGAUCGUAAAACUCUGUUAUUAGGGAAGAAAAGAGGUGUAAGUAACUGGGCACAUCUUGACGGUACCUAAUCAGAAAGCCACGGCUAACUACGUG
rnacentral:rRNA from 1 species